rnacentral:rRNA from 1 species
CCUGUUUAACAAAAACAUGUCUUUUUGAGUUAUUUUUAAAGUCUGACCUGCCCACUGAAGUUUUAAAUGGCCGCAGUAUUCUAACUGUGCAAAGGUAGCAUAAUCAUUAGUCUUUUAAUUGGAGGCUGGUAUGAACGGUUGGACGAGGUAUAUACUGUUUCAUAUGAAUUUAUAAUAGAAUUUUAUUUUUUAGUCAAAAAGCUAAAAUAAUAUUAAAAGACGAGAAGACCCUAUAAAUCUUUAUAUUUAAUAUAAUUUAAAUUUUUUGGAUUGUUUUUAUUUUUAUUUUAUUAAGUAUUUUGUUGGGGUGAUGUUAAAAUUUAAUGAACUUUUAAUUGUUGAAAAUCAUUUAUUUAUGAGUUAUUGAUCCAUUAUUAUUGAUUAUAAGAUUAAGUUACUUUAGGGAUAACAGCGUAAUUUUUUUGGAGAGUUCAUAUCGAUAAAAAAGUUUGCGACCUCGAUGUUGGAUUAAGAUAUAUUUUUAGGUGUAGCUGUUUAAAU